GAACGCUGGCGGCGUGCUUAACACAUGCAAGUCGAACGGUAAGGCCCUUUCGGGGGUACACGAGUGGCGAACGGGUGAGUAACACGUGGGUGAUCUGCCCUGCACUUUGGGAUAAGCCUGGGAAACUGGGUCUAAUACCGAAUAUUCCUUGCUGGUCGCAUGGCCUGGUGGGGGAAAGCUUUUGCGGUGUGGGAUGGGCCCGCGGCCUAUCAGCUUGUUGGUGGGGUGAUGGCCUACCAAGGCGACGACGGGUAGCCGGCCUGAGAGGGUGUCCGGCCACACUGGGACUGAGAUACGGCCCAGACUCCUACGGGAGGCAGCAGUGGGGAAUAUUGCACAAUGGGCGCAAGCCUGAUGCAGCGACGCCGCGUGAGGGAUGACGGCCUUCGGGUUGUAAACCUCUUUCAGUACAGACGAAGCGUAAGUGACGGUAUGUACAGAAGAAGCACCGGCCAACUACGUGCCAGCAGCCGCGGUAAUACGUAGGGUGCGAGCGUUGUCCGGAAUUACUGGGCGUAAAGAGCUCGUAGGUGGUUUGUCGCGUUGUUCGUGAAAACCGGGGGCUUAACCCUCGGCGUGCGGGCGAUACGGGCAGACUUGAGUACUGCAGGGGAGACUGGAAUUCCUGGUGUAGCGGUGGAAUGCGCAGAUAUCAGGAGGAACACCGGUGGCGAAGGCGGGUCUCUGGGCAGUAACUGAC
rnacentral:rRNA from 1 species